GCCUGUUUAGCUCAGUUGGUUCAGAGCAUCCGUCUCAUACGCGGAGGGUCGCUAGUUCAAGUCUAGCAACAGGUA
rnacentral:tRNA from 1 species